GCAAACUUGGUCAUUUAGAGGAAGUAAAAGUCGUAACAAGGUUUCCGUAGGUAAGUUAAGAAGUUUUCCAUCUUAUACACCCCCCAUAGACCAUAAUGUACUAACUUUUUCCUUUUAGGUGAACCUGCGGAAGGAUCAUUAUAAAGUGGUAAACCUCCCAUAAAAAAGGGGGUACCUCCUGUCCUUUGCAGGCUCCUUUUUAAGGGGCUUUUUAUUUGCUUUCUGCUUCGGUGGGGUUAUCCCACCGGAACGACCUCAAAACUCUGAUUAAAAAAAUUGUUCUGUCCGAGGGCCUUUUUAUAAUAAAAAAAAACUUUCAACAACGGAUCUCUUGGUUCUGGCAUCGAUGAAGAACGCAGC
rnacentral:misc_RNA from 1 species